CUAGGUAAUAGCAGUGUAACACUGUCCUCCUCUUCUUCUUCCUCUGUGGAGAGCUGUGUGUUCCUGCCCUAUAACAACCUGUUCAUGGAGAUGAGACUAGGUAAUAGCAGUGUAACACUGUCCUCCUCUUCUUCUUCCUCUGUGGAGAGCUGUGUGUUCCUGCCCUAUAACAACCUGUUCAUGGAGAUGAGACGAGGUAAUAGCAGUGUAACACUGUCCUCUUCUUCUUCCUCUGUGGAGAGCUGUGUGUUCCUGCCCUAUAACAACCUGUUCAUGGAGAUGAGACUAGGUAAUAGCAGUGUAACACUGUCCUCCUCCUCUUCUUCCUCUGUGGAGAGCUGUGUGUUCCUGCCCUAUAACAACCUGUUCAUGGAGAUGAGACUAGGUAAUAGCAGUGUAACACUGUCCAGUAGGGAUGUGACAAUACCAGUAUUGGCAAAAAUGAAAACACAAAGCAGACAACUCUUUGGUCAUUUAAAAACCUGCUGUAUGUGCAAUAUUGUGUGCUACAGCUUGGAAAAUUAAUACAUGUGAUUCUGGAUAAUAACAUAAUGAUUUUUGUUUCUAACAACAGGGCUUUUUCCUAAAGACGUUAAAUCCACUUUGUGUUUUGUUUCCUUGCCACGAUACUAACGAGCAUCGCGAUGCUGGUAUCCUCCCGGCCCUCCUGACCAGCCCGUCUCAGUGAGAGGGAGUAGAGAGGGAUUCCUGUAAUGGCUGCAGCACCAUCUCCCCCACUGUCAUCCUCUCUCUGUUCCUACUCAUCUAUUUCAACCCGUCCACCCCCACACAUCUUGUGAUACACAUGGAAUCACACACACACCCGUACGCACGCACAUACACAAAUACUCACACACACUGGUGUUUUUCUUUCCUAUGGUUGCGUUCCUCUGUGAGGUUGUGUAAUCAAGUGUAGUUUCAGUAAUGUCUGUGUCACAGAGAGGCCCUCUCUCUGGGGACCCCAUGUGGUCCUGGUUAUUAGGCCUUACCCCUCUGUGGUAUGUGAGCCGUACAAGGAAAACACUUUCCCUAAACCUGGAGCCUUGUCAGAUAAACAAAACCAUAGGUAACAUUCAACUGGAUCAUCUGCUUCUACUGUUGCGCCUGGUCCAAAGGGGAGAGUGGCUUAGGUUCUGAGUUCUGAAACGGUGUGCGCUGUAUACGAAGCAUUAGCAACACUAAUAUUAUGCCCCCCUUUGCACUCAGAACAGCCUCAGUUCGUCAGGGCAUAGACUGUUCAAGGUUUUGAAAGCAUUCCACAGGGAUGUUGGCCCAUGUUCACUCCAAUGCUUUCCACAGAUGUCAAGUUGGCUGGAUGUCCUUGUUGUGGUGGAUCAUUCUUGAUACACACAGGAAAUGGUUGAGCGUGAAAAACCCUGUGGUGUUGCAGUUCUUGACACAAACCGGUGAGCCUGGCACCUACUACAGUACAGUACAGUACCAUACCCCGUUCAAAAGGCACUUAAAUAUUUUGCCUUGCCCAUUCACCCUCUGAGUGGCACACAUACACAAUCCAUGUCUCAAUUGUCUCAGGCUUAAAAAUCAAUUUUUGGGGCCUCCCGAGUGGGGCAGCAGUCUAAGGCAUUGCAGUGCUUGAGGCGUCACUACAGAUCAUAGCUUUCACCUGGUUCGUCAAAGUCAUGGAAAGAGCAGGUGUUGUAUACUAAAUAUAAAUAUAUUUAUAUACAUAUGUAGCUACAGUAUAUGGUUUUGCAAAACAAUUAUGUUUUGAUUGUGGUUCUGUAUGUGCAAAUGAUAUUAGAGCAUAACAUACAUGAAUAAGACACACACCCACACCCCAUUGUGGUAUCCAACACCUUAACGCUCAUUUGCAUUUUUAAUUUGCACCUGUCAGUCUUUCUCCUCCCUGCCUAGACAGUUUUCAAAUGCUGAAGCUUCCCUGCUUAGAUGUAAUGUUCUUUAAGCUGUUCAGAAAUGUGGUUGUUUAGCCUGAGACAAUAUUUUCAGAGGGUAUCACCAUUGUUGACCAAAGAUUACAAGUGUGUAAAUCAGGUUAACCAGAUUAAUAUUUAUCCUUUACAAUAUUGCUGCCAGCUAAAAUAGGUCAAAUGUAGUCCUCUCAUUUUGCCAGUUGAAUUCUUAGGCCUCACCUUUUGAAAUGUCAAUCGUGGACUCAUAAUAUGACCGAGAGCCUCCAGAGUAACAGAUGGGGAUGUUUAGCAGCUUUGCAAGGAGACAUAGAUGGAGAAUUCAGGGCAUUGGCAGUAUGCUGGAAUGCAAAAGUAGGUCUAUUGUUGAACUUUUAUUAGGCAUGGCUUCUGGGAUUUCAGACAUUUUAAUGGGCUGUCAAGAGCACAAAGGCUGUCAGAUUGCAAACCCGUAAAUUCCUUUUUUUUUUUAAAUUAUAAAUGUGCAUGUGAUUUAUGAGCGGGAGAACAUUGUCAUGAAUUAUAUAUUUGGUCAUGGAUAGAUGGGCAGACCGACACAGACUGACUGACAUAAAUCUGCCAACUUUACCAUGCAAGGUAUUGCCAGUAACAAAGCUUGCGCUUUUAUUUCCUCCAACCGAGGUAGUCUUUAAUGCAGUAAUAUGUUUAAAAGUCCCACCAACGCCUCAGUAUAAAACGUUGCCUUUUAUCUUACCGGCUUUGGCACACAAUAAAUCAUGAACAGUCUAUUCUUGUCCGACAUCAAACCGGUCAAUUACAAAGAUUCACUGAAUUCCUUUUAAUGUAUUUAUCUCCAUUUACAUGUAUGUGCUUCUGUCCUUGAGCUGGACUUGUCUAUUGUCACAGAAAUGCUUUAGCAUUUAGCCUGAGCGAACACACACAGGAAUCUGCCAUUUCAUAUUUUUGUAUUUACUUUUAACAGGUACAUUUUAAAAGGUCCUUAUAUCUACCUAAGAAAUGAUGGGUAAAUAUACAUGUGUGUCAAACUUAAACUACAAUUCGACUUUUAAUGUCAACUUUUAUUAAGCUGGGAUUUCUGAAUUUCUACUGGGCUGUCCAGCUCACAAAGGCUUUCAGAUCGCAAACACCCAUAAAUUCCUUUUUAAACAAUGUGCAUGUGAUUUAUGAGAGGGAGACCAUUGCCACUGCACUUUUCCUCUUUUCCUGGAGUGACACAAGUCUAUAGGCUACAAUAUCAUGUUGACAUUUAUGUUGAGCAUGUUUUGCUGCUCUAGUGGAAGUAAUAUUUGACGUGUGUUGUGUGUAUUUACAGUUGCAUGAGGAGUGAGGAGUUUACAAAUGCCUCAAGUGCGACUUGUAAUAAGACUAGGUAUUUAGCCUAUUUAAAAUGUUUAUCUGACUCCAUAAAGAUAAGUUGCAAUAUGCAAGAACACUAUAAUUGAGAUGCAGUAAUAGGCAAUCAAGAAAUGUCUGAGAAUGGAAUUCGAAAUACAAGUGUAUUUAACUACCUUGGAAAAUGAAUGGAUUCACAUACAAGGCAUAAAGCUGAAGUUACAAGGCAAUACUGACGUUAACAAAGCAGUAUACUACGCAUGAUAAGAGAGAAAUCAUAGCCUGAAAUGCCAUGCCCCAGAAAUCCAUGGGGUAGAGAAGGAAAGAAGGUCCGAAAGAAAGAGAACCUUGAGUCUGACUCUUUUAUAAGCAUCUGAGUUGUUGGCCAAUAGUAUUCCUGUAAAGUUAACCUCCAAUCAGAUAUCAGAUCUACAUGAUGUGACCUCUGCUUAUCAGAGGUGAGAGAAUGGGGGUUGGAGAAAUAAAACGGAGGAUGCUGAAUUCCUAAGACAACACAGAGGAGUUUCUUGCAUACGGUUGAUAAGUCACUUAAGGGGCUUCCAUACCCUACAGUACGAUUAGUCCUAUUUAGAUACAUGUCUGCUGCCUACAAUUUUUUUUAAAGGCAGUUUGGCGAUGACAUUUGUUAGCAAGAUAUCAACGUGCAUGAUGUCUAACAAAGCAGAGUGAAUGUAGGAAAAUGUAUGAAACGUGGAUAAAACGUAGACUUUUUCAAAUCAUUCUACGGACGUUCAUCCAGGUCAGCUUUUACAUGUCUUUACAUUAUCGGAAAGAGCAGAUUCUAAGGUUUCUAACAUACAAUCACUUACCAACUCUGGAAAAUGGGGGCAAUGGGCUCUGUUUCAAAAUAUCACUUUUUUUGUUACAGCGUUUCCAUGCUUUACAGUGACACUGGGAAAAGUAACGUAAUUAAUCCCAAAAUACGCAAUUUCAUUCUUUUGAAAAUGUUUUUUAGGACCUGCAUAAACAAAUUAAUAAUGUAUUUCUUUGAUGGUGUAUUUUUGGAUUCAUAAAAAUAGACGCUUACCCACAUCUGCAUACCCCCUUUUUUUUAAAUGUUAUAUAUUUUUUAAAUUGAACCUUUUAUGUAACUAAGCAAGUCAGUUAAGAACAAAAUCUUAUUUACAAUGACUGCCUACACCGGCCAAACCCGGACGAUGCUGGGCCAAUUGUGCGCCGCCCUAUGGGACUCACAAUCCUGGCCGGUUAUGAUACAGCCUGGAUUCGAACCAGGGUGUCUGUAGUGACACUUCUAGCACUGAGAAGCAGUGCCUUAGACCGCUACGCCACUCAGUAACCCCUACUCCCACUGUCACCGGUACAGGCAUGUGCACAGGAUAUAUACAUGGUUUUCCCCGGCACAAAUGUGGUAAAAAUGGGACUGUUUGAAAGGGGGUCGUCCCCACAAAGUUUUUUUUUACAGGUAACAUACUCUAAAUCCUGUGUGAUUUGUGUAUCUUAGACAAACAUAUGCGUACACACACACACACACACACACACACACACACACACACUGCCUCCUGUUGAUGCAACCAAGGUUUUUUUCAGGUAUUUCUCAGUUUGAUUGUUUUCUAUUGUUAAGAUCCCAUUGUAAAUCUCUUCUGUCAUAUGUAUACCUAUGAAAAUAAAAGAAUGUCAAUUGUCCCUACCCCGGCUUCAUGAAAGACACAACUCUGCACUGACCUCGCUGUCAGCCUCCUAAAGUCUAAAUUCAGAGACUGCCUACCCCCUGACCGGAGGCAGGAACACCCGUAGCCAAAACAAACGGACUAUACCAAAGUCUAGAACAGAAAGGUGCACGACGUCACCAAUCCCAUGUUUCUGCUCAUUGAUUAAUGAGUCACUUUAAGACCACAGGACAUUAUUGAUUUUUCUUUCUUUCUGGUGUUAGUUUAUUUUGUUACUGUUACCCAUGAAUAUGUUGUAUGCGCAUGGAUUUCUGUUUGUAUUGACUUCUACAUGAGUGUUGAAACCAAAACAACUUAAGAGCUGGAAAUGUAACAUGCAUACAGCUCAUUCAGUGUUGUUUCCGAGGCAUUCCUGAGGCCUGUCGGUUCUCUGUAAUAGUGGCUCUUAGGGCUGCAGCAGAGGCCGUUAAUUAAGGAUCCACCCCUUUUUUUAAAUGUCUGUAUGCAUGGUACAACUGGAGGCUGUGUGGUGAUAGCACCCCUGAAGCUUAUAGCUUAACUAUCUGUCAGUUCAGCAGCAGAGGUACAAGAAGGUUUAUACACAACCUACAGGCUCUCUGUAGUAGCUACUCCUGAUGACUUUCUGCUGAUGUUGACGCAAUGCUAUUUUGUUGUCGUGUCUCUGUGUUGCUCACAACUGCGUGGUGUGUGUGUGUGUGUGUGUGCUCACCCUCGGCAGAUUAACCAGGAAAGGUGGGCUUUGUGUCAGGGCAGUAACAUGCUUUUCGAGCUGAUUGUUUUUGAGUCUCCUCGGUGCAUUUCACAAUCUGGACACAGGUGUUGAAUACAAAAAUGCUGACUAAACCGUUUCAUAACUCAAGCUACAGAUCAUAAUUUUCCUCGGACACAUUGAGUAUGCAUCCUAACAAACAUUUCCGCCUCUGUGUAUGAUAGACUUCCCUUGCCUUUGUUCAUGUAUUUAUUAGCAAUUAGAAAUGGCCCUCCCCCUGACAUAGCCCACCAGUAUGUAAUAUACUUGUACAAAAGAACCCUGGCCCUUUGUUGUCUGAGUAUCCCCUUCCUCUCACAUGGCUCUCCUUUGUU